AUUUACUGAGCUCCUGAAAUCAGAGAAGUGCUUUGCUUUUUCUCUAGAAGCCCUUGGGGAUCAAGGCUCAGCUCCUGGCAGGAUCAUCUUCUGCAUGAUUGCUGUAAUUCCUGGGCCCCAAUCUGGAUGCACUUUCUCAGGACUUCUUUCCACCCCAGGCCUGAUCAGCAGAUACUCCCAGCCAGGCCUCAGGAACCAUCACCACGUUAACAAACCAAUUAUAGGCUGGCUUCUACAUGAAAAUUUCUAAACAAACAAACAAAACAAAGAAACAUGAUUUCCAGGGUGGAGCUAUCUCUGAGGGUCUUUCUACCAGACUAUGGGUGAGGAAACUGAGGCCUAGAUGGGUUGGAUCCUCCAGUGGUGGAAACACAGGCAGUACCGAAGGGUUGUACCAAACUUGCUGAGAAGGUAGGAUUUUGAGGCAUAGGUCUUCCCCAGACCUUCCACUGCAGGCUGACUCUGUUUUCUUGCCAGGCUGGCCUAUCCAUUUAUUUGGUUGUCUUUUAGCCACUCGUGGUCACACCACAUUGUUCAGUGGAGGGACCCAGCAUGGCCUUCAUCUGGGUUUCCUGUGAGUUCCACUCCAGCACCAGCUGCAGCCUCAAACUACCACAAGGUACAGUCUGGAAGAACGGACUACUGCUUUUGCUGAGCUGUAUCA